rnacentral:misc_RNA from 1 species
AAAGCGCCCUAUUUGUGUUGAUAGGUGUUUUUUUUAUUGAUAUUGAUAUAGGGGGAUCGGGUGUCGUUACGGUCGGAAAUAUUUAAUAUUUUAAUUUUGCUGCUAUGCUGCUGCUUUCAGAGAAUGAAUAUCACGAAGUGAAGGGCAAGGGUGGCCAUUCUUAUAUCCUAUGUGAAAGGAUGGGAAUGUUCCCGAACAUCCAUAAGAAGCGGCUCGUGUGCCAACACUAUGCUCGGCAAAAGCCUGGCAAGACUUGUAAAGCUUCGCCACGUGACACCGGAUGCCCCGUCACCCUCGAUAUACGCGUACGCAAAGUGACCUUCCAGAAAAAUGCCAAAAGCAGGUCCAAGAAGCCUGACGCGGGCUAUGCGCUUCAAGUGAAGGCUCGGGGCCAACACAACCACCCGCUGGAGACGGCGACGGUCCUUAAGUUCCGUCGGGUGAGCGAGCGCACGAGGGAGCGGAUCGUGGAGCUGUUUCGGCACCACCACUCGCCGGCGACGGCGCUCCGAACGCUGAAGCUGCAGCUGCAGGCGGAGUACGGCGAGCGGUACCCGCUGAUAGCGGCCGACCGCGGCAUCCUGCCCGAUACAAACUACUUCUACAAACUCCACAAGAAGUUCUUGGCUUCGGAGUGCGGCGAGCAGCGGACCGCGGGCAGUAUUGACCAGCAGCCGACCGCGGGCAGUGUCAACCAGCAGCCGUCCGCGGGCAGUGUUGACCAGCAGCCGUCCGCGGACAGUAUUGUCAACCAGCAGCCGCCCGCGGGGAGUGUCGACCAGCAGCCGUCCGCGGGGAGUGUUGACCAGCAGCCGUCCGCGGCAGUGUUGACCAGCAGCCGUCCGCGGGCAGUGUUGACCAGCAGCCGUCGGCGGUGCCUGACGGUGGCGACGACACGGCCUACCACGACGGCGACGACGGCGAGAUGGAGGAGACGGAUGGAGACGUGGAACCGAGCGCCAGCCUGUCUGGCCCGGACGACCACCUCCAGACCAUGCGAGACGAGAUAAAAGCUCGGCUGGACUCCUUCACACGCCGAGUGCUGAAAUCAGCUGUAACUUCAGAUGAGGUGGAAGACUGGCACCGUGCUGUCGUAGCUUUUGACACCAAGUUCAGCAAGAUGUCAAAGGCUGCGCGGAAGUUGGCCUUCUACAACUUCGGUGCGGCACCCGGGGGACGGUCGGGCACCAGGACCGGCAGGAAGCCGACCAGCACCGCCGGGCGCACCUCCGCGACCGAACCCGAGUGUGUCCCGGCCGGCCAGUGGGCAGCGGUGAACACCAGUACACCGGCACAGCGGGUAGUCGCCGAGCCACAGAGUCUCAGCACCGUGUGGAUCCAAAUCGCCGACUUUGAAACGAUGGAGCAGUAACCGUGGUGUCGGGCUGACGAUCGACUCUCGGUCGGCGGUGGCGGGCUCACCGGCUGGCCGCUGUGUCAGCAGGGCGACCUGCUGGUGACGGAGGCGCCCGGCGGCUACCCGGUGCUGCUGCGCGACCACGACGCGCCGGCGGGGCGGGACCCGGUGCGCCGCUGGAGCCUGGCCUGCUCCGACCUGGAGCGCUCGGUGGCCGUGUGGAGGAGCGCGCCGCCGGCCGGGCACUGCUCUCGUUCGGCGGCGACCAGGCCGACUGGAGCUGGUGGGGAGCGCCGCGCCUCUGGACCCGGCCGCCGCCUUCGGGCGGAGCGCGUUCGCCGAACGGACCGCAGAGCUCACCGGCGCUGAGGCACGGGUGCGUGUCCAGUGAGGUACCAUGCUCACGCCGCAGGCCACCAUGGGAGACGCCUGGUAAGGCGGACGUCAGCCGCGGGCGUAAGUGGUUGAAAUGAAGUUCAGUGAAGCAGUUGUGCCUUCUAUAAAUCAGGACUAGAGCUCCGCG